CUGUUCUGGAGCACGCAUGUGUACCUCUGCAUCUUUGCGAUCACCAGAGCCACGAGUUAAGCACAAUCGGGGUGCACACAGGCAAUCUUGGGCAAGCUGAACCCAAUAUAUCUUCUUAUUCAGAACAAGCAGUGGAUUUGUAUGCUGCCCAACACUCAAGGUUGUUUCCAGGAAGUUUACAGUAAAAAAAGAAAGGAAAAAACCCCACCCCAAAUUAAAGAAGAUUCAAGCAGAUGAUUUUGGUUUGGUUCCCUUAUUGGACUAAAAGAGAUCAGAACCAGCUGAAUAUACUGUAUGUAUAUAUAUAUAUAUAUAUAUUUACUGCUCAGCCAAAUCCAAGCAAACCACAAUGUUUAAGGAAACAUGUGAAAACAGCUUAAAGCAAAACAAGGAUACUCAAAAGCACCUUGGAAGGGAUUCCUCAGUUAUUUAUUCAAAUAAUAAUAAUAAUAGUAAUGAUGAUGAUGAUGAUGUCAUCAGGGCACUUGGUACCUUGUCCAAGAAUUUUAUAAGAUACAUCAACAAAUUGCAGCUUCCUGCAAUAACACCAGCAGAACUGCAAAAAACUGAGCUACUUGGAACAUCACACAUCUUAAGAAGGUACUUGGUUGAUACCUAGGACGCUGGCAGCAACCCGUAUCAACCAUUAGCACCAGUCAAUGAUAUUUGUGAUGCCUUUUUGAAUGUUCAGUUGACUUGAGUUUCAUGUUUAAUGAAUAAAAUAAUAAUAAUAAUAACAAUGCUCAAAGUAGUGGACACCUAUAAGUAAAACCCAAAUCUAUCACGAAAACAUAGAUUUAAAAACAACAACUAAACAAUCGUUUGCAAUCAUUUUUAUGAUUAUUUAUUGGGUGUCCAGUGGGACUGAAGACAGUGUAAAUCAGGUCUUUAAUCCUCCUAGCAUCAUUGAACAUAUAUACCUUAGGCCAAGUCUAGAAGGUCCAUGGACUGCUUUGGCCAACAUUCAAGGCAGUGCACAUGUCAUAGAAAGUCAUAAAACAGGACCCCUGAAAAAGGAACAAUAGGUGCCAGAAUCAUUACAUGAACAAGAUUUAUUUGUGUGGGGGGGGGGGCAAAGGAAGCAGGUGCUUCCAUUCAUAUUAACAUUGGCCUAUACAAACCUCCCUACUUUUUGCUGACAAUAAUCUACACAACCUAGGGCAAUUUUUUGAGUGGGAGGAUAUUUCUGUGGUAGAGCAUCCUGUUUGCUUUGCAAAAUAUUCUAAGUUUAAUGCAACAGCGUCUUCAGGUAGAUUUGGAAAAGCUACUUCUGAAACUUUGGAGAGCCAUUGGCGUUCAGAAACUUUGUGUCGCAUGCUAAGCCAAGAUUUUAGUUCAACAGCGCUUUCUUGAAUAAACCUCAGAUGAUGAUCUGGUUAACCCAUAAGCCAUUUGAUUUUACAAAUUGACAGGCAUUGGGCUCACUCAACAGAUCAAGCCUACCAUGAAAAAACAAACAAAAAACCUACUUAGCGCAAUGUGUGAAUCCAGCUGGUGUGCAGUUUGACAUAGCACGGCAGCUUGCUCCAUUUCCUUUCCAAGUUCUGGGUGCAGAAGCUGGCUAGUGCAUCAUGGGAGCUGGGAGGGGACCAGGAAUGGAACGGCUGCUCCCACAGUGAUCCAUGGAAACAAAGAGUGGUUUGAUCACUUGAUGGCAAAAUACAUGAUGACUGACACCAAAGUGGUUGUCUUAAUUCCUUGUGCAAUUGAUGCAUAACCGAGAGAAUGAGUUUGUCUAUAAAGCAGGCAGGAGUGUCUGGUUUUUUUCCCAAUAGCACAAGGCAAAAAGGAACAUUUCAGUAAUAAAGCUAUGAGCAGCCGGUGCAUCAAUCAACAAGUUCCUAGAUUAUUAUUAUUAUUUACUUUAUUCAUGAAACAUGAAACUCAGUCAACUGAACAUUCAAAAAGGCAUCACAAAUACCAUUGACUGGUAUGGUUGAUAUGGGUUGCUGCCAGUGUCCUAGGUAUCAACCAAGUACCUUCUUAAGAUGUACGAUGUUAUAAGUAG